GUGCUUGCUUCGGCAGCACAUACACUAAAAAUUGGAACGAUACAGAGAUUAGCACAGCCCCUGCGCAAGGAUGACGCGCAAAUUCGUGAAGUGUUUCGUAUUUUU